UACGUAGGUGGCAAGCGUUGUCCGGAUUUAUUGGGCGUAAAGGGAGCGCAGGUGGUUUCUUAAGUCUGAUGUGAAAGCCCACGGCUUAACCGUGGAGGGUCAUUGGAAACUGGGGAACUUGAGUGCAGAAGAGGAAAGUGGAAUUCCAAGUGUAGCGGUGGAAUGCGUAGAUAUUUGGAGGAACACCAGUGACGAAGGCGACUUUCUGGUCUGUAACUGACACUGAGGCUCGAAAGCGUGGGGAGCGAACAGGAUUAGAUACCCUGGUAGUCCCUGA
rnacentral:rRNA from 1 species